rnacentral:tRNA from 1 species
CGAUCCGUAAGCUGUCGGGACAGCGCUUGAAUUGGGCUCAGGAAGUCCUGGGUUCAAAUCCCGGCAGCCCGA